rnacentral:ribozyme from 2 species
UUCUUAAUGUAGCCGUUGGUGGUCCAAAGCCCACAUGAGAAAUACAGAUGGAGAU